rnacentral:snRNA from 1 species
UGUGACUGCGUAACAUUCUGUUCUAAAAUUGGAACGGUACAGAGAAGAAUAGCAUGGCCCCUGCUUGACUAAGAUAAUAUGCCCUAAAAGCAGUAAGGUAUUAUU